rnacentral:ncRNA from 1 species
UUACCUCACAUAGCCCUGGACAAAAAUAUUCUUUAAAAAUCCGCAAUUAAAGCUCCUUGAAAAAAUUUCCUUUAAAAAUCUAUGAUUAUAGCUCCUUGAAAAAAUAUCCUUUAAAAAUCUUAAAUAUUCUUUAAAAAUCCGCAAUUAAAGCUCCUUGAAAAAAUUUCCUUUAAAAAUCUAUGAUUAUAGCUCCUUGAAAAAAUAUCCUUUAAAAAUCUUUCAAAUGUCUGCCCUAUCAACUUUUGAUGGUAGUAUCUAGGACUACCAUGGUUGCAACGGGUAACGGGGAAUCAGGGUUCGAUUCCGGAGAGGGAGCCUGAGAAGCGGCUGCCACAUCUAAGGAAGGCAGCAGGCGCGUAAAUUACCCACUCCCAGCUCGGGGAGGUAGUGACGAAAAAUAACAAUACAGGACUCAUAUUAGAGGCCCUGUAAUUGGAAUGAGUACACUUUCAAUCCCUUAACAAGGACCUAUUGGAGGGCAAGUCUGCGCAAGCAGCCGCGGUAACUCCAGCUCCUUAA